GGGUGCAAUCAUACCAGCACUAAUGCACCGGAUUCCAUUAGAAACUCCGCAUUAAAGCGUGCUUGUGCGAGAGUAGUACUAGGAUGGGUGACCUCCUGGGAAGUCCUUGUUUUGCAUCCC
rnacentral:rRNA from 1 species